CCUUAGGGCGGGGUGAAAUUCCCCAUCGGCGGUACAGCCCGCGCGCUUGUCUGAAAACAAGCUGAUUCGGUGAGAUCCCGAAGCCGACGGUCACAGUCCGGAUGAAAAAGG
rnacentral:ncRNA from 1 species